GUGCUCACUUUGGCAGCACAUAUACUACAUUUGGAACAAUACAGAGAAGAUGGGGAUGCCCAGCACAAGGAUGACAUGCAAAUUUGUGAAGUGUUCAUAAUAUUU
ensembl:snRNA U6 U6 spliceosomal RNA